UACGAAGGGUGCAAGCGUUACUCGGAAUUACUGGGCGUAAAGCGUGCGUAGGCGGUUCGUUAAGUCUGUCGUGAAAGCCCUGGGCUCAACCUGGGAAUUGCGAUGGAUACUGGCGAGCUAGAGUACGGUAGAGGAUGGUGGAAUUCCCGGUGUAGCGGUGAAAUGCGUAGAGAUCGGGAGGAACACCCGUGGCGAAGGCGGCCAAUCUGGACCAGUACUGACGCUGAGGCACGAAAGCGUGGGGAGCAAACAGGG
rnacentral:rRNA from 1 species